AAACCAUUUGUCAUGAUCUCGUGAGACUUAGCAGACCCAAAUGCUGAAAACCCGGAAGAAAACUCAAAGAAUCGUCUGGCGCGGCAGGCUGGAGGGUAUUGAGGCAGAAACCAGUGAGCUUGGAUGACGCUGGAUCCCAGGAACAGACGAGGAGCAUGAACAGCAGACUGCGACCAGAGGAGCACCCGUGGAGGUUUUUUCCUGUGGGUGAGCAGCACAGAAGCAAUUAGCGAGGCGAAGGCAGACAAGAGCAAGAACAUGAGUCGACCAGACUAAGCACCGUAGAGGAACAACGAACUGACGUCGAAUGAUGAUCCGAGGGCUCCUUAAGAAUGCUGCAGGUUGAUGAGGUGAGUGGAACCAGCUGGUCGCGAUCAGGGCAGAGAGGGGAGGGGGAAGGUA